GGAAAAGGAACUCCCUCUCUGGGGCAUGCGGCGGAGGGCUGCCAAAGCCUGCUAGACUCUCCUGGUGGAGCCGGACGAAGUAGAGAGAGACAGGGGGAGGCGGGAGGCGAGCCUGGAAAUCCCUGCGAGCCCUAGCGGAGAGGUUCCCUGCCCGGGGCGGGGCGCUGGAGAGCUUCCCAGACACUGAAGGCGUCGGGGAGAACUUAUCCUGGAACUGCUGGACAGCUCCGGGACCUAGAGCGCCCCCUGCCAAACAGCGCCGAGAACCGGACUCUUGGUUCUCCAGGACCAGCACACAGCAGGAGACAAGGGCAGCAGAGCGAGUGUGCCUGUCCACGCUGAAAAGAAGAAAUGAUAGGAAAAACUGCACCAAGCUGGACAACGUCUAUCAUUAUACACAAGAUUUACCCCACUAAAGUGAGAUAAGAAGCAAAAUCAUUCACUGAGAGUGAGGAGCAGAAGCGAGGAGGUGGAAAUUUGAGAAGCAAGAAGAGGAGGUGAAAUAGUAAUCCCUGAGAGAGAAAAUAAAUCAAUAAGGAAAUGGGAACUGUGGUCGACUGAAUUGCAAAGACUGCACUGAGGCCCACUUGAGACAGUCAUAAACUUUAAAAGAGAUCAAUCAGAAUAGUUAGGUGUUUUCCUCCAGAGAUCAAACUACAAGCUUGGGAAACAUUUAUUGACUGUUUAUUAUGUGCCAAGCACUGUUGUAAGCAUUGUACUCCUAUUAAUACCUUUGAAUUGGGGCGCCUCAGUGGCUCAGUUGGUUAACAUCCGACUCUUGGUUUUGGCUCAAGUCAUGAUCUCACGGUUUCAUGGGUUCAAGCCCUACAUCUGACUCCUCCUCGCUGACGGUGCAGAGCCUGCUUUGGAUUCUGUGUCUCUUUCUCUCUCUGCCCCUCCCCCACUCACACUGUCUCUGUCUUCUCAAAAUAAAUAAAUAAACUUAAAAAAAAAUU